rnacentral:rRNA from 1 species
CCUACGGGAGGCAGCAGUGAGGAAUAUUGGUCAAUGGGCGAGAGCCUGAACCAGCCAAGUCGCGUGAGGGAUGAAGGUACUAUGGAUUGUAAACCUCUUUUGUCGGGGAACAAAGGCGUCCACGUGUGCACUGAUGAGUGUACCCGAAGAAAAAGCAUCGGCUAACUCCGUGCCAGCAGCCGCGGUAAUACGGAGGAUGCGAGCGUUAUCCGGAUUUAUUGGGUUUAAAGGGUGCGUAGGCGGACAGUCAAGUCAGCGGUAAAAGUGCGGUGCUCAACGCCGUACAGCCGUUGAAACUGGCAGUCUUGAGUGGGCGAGAAGUAUGCGGAAUGCGUGGUGUAGCGGUGAAAUGCAUAGAUAUCGCGCAGAACUCCGAUUGCGAAGGCAGCAUGCCGGCGCCCUACUGACGCUGAGGCACGAAAGCGUGGGUAUCGAACAGGAUUAGAUACCCGUGUAGUC